rnacentral:sRNA from 1 species
UUGACAUCACAGGAGAGUGAAGUCCUCAAUUAAUCUACAGAACAGGUACAGCCCAAGCAGUGGCAGUGCAACACUGCCCCACCAACGUGCCUCACAUCUGAUCUAGAGGGAUUUCUUUUGGGGAAAAGGGAGGCAUAUUUCAUUCUCCAUGUUUAUUCAAUCCCUGGCCUCU